UCCACAUUCUGUGACACAACUCACUUUUC
rnacentral:piRNA from 1 species